CAGCCGUAAACUAUGCGCGUUAGGUGUACUGGUGACCACGAGUCACCGGGGUGCCGAAGGGAAACCGUGAAACGUGCCGCCUGGGAAGUACGGUCGCAAGGCUGAAACUUAAAGGGAAUUGGCGGGGGAGCACCACAACGGGUGGAGCCUGCGGUUUAAUUGGACUCAACGCCGGAAAUCUCACCGGAUAGGACAGACAUAUGAUAGUCGGGCUGAAGACUCUACUUGAUGAUCUGAGAGGUGGUGCAUGGCGUCAGUGACU
rnacentral:rRNA from 1 species